rnacentral:rRNA from 1 species
UUGACCUCAAAUCGGGUGAGACUACCCGCUGAACUUAAGCANNNNNNNNNNNNNNNNNNNNNNNNNNNNNNAGGAUUCCCCUAGUAACUGCGAGUGAAGCGGGAAAAGCUCAAAUUUAAAAUCUGGCGGUCUUUGGCUGUCCGAGUUGUAAUUUAGAGAAGCGUCUUCCGCGCUGGACCGUGCACAAGUCUCCUGGAAUGGAGCGUCAUAGAGGGUGAGAAUCCCGUCUUUGGCACGGAUGCCUGGUGCUUCUGUGAUGCGCUCUCGAAGAGUCGAGUUGUUUGGGAAUGCAGCUCAAAAUGGGUGGUGAACUCCAUCUAAAGCUAAAUAUUGGCGAGAGACCGAUAGCGAACAAGUACCGUGAGGGAAAGAUGAAAAGCACUUUGGAAAGAGAGUGAAACAGUACGUGAAAUUGUUGAAAGGGAAACGCUUGAAGUCAGUCGCGUCGACCGAGACUCAGCCUCGCCUUGGCUUGGUGUACUUCUCGGCACGACGGGUCAGCAUCAAUUUUGCCCCUCGGAUAAUGGCAGGGGAAAGGUGGCACCUUUACGGGUGUGUUAUAGUCUUCUGUCGCAUGCGAGGGGUGGGAUUGAGGAACUCAGCGCGCACCUCAGUGUCGGGGCUUCGGCCCACGUCACGCGCUUAGGAUGCUGGCGUAAUGGCUUUAAACGACCCGUCUUGAAACACGGACCAAGGAGUCCAACACGCCCGCGAGUGUUCGGGUGGAAAACCCGUGCGCGUAAUGAAAGUGAAAGUUGGGACCUCUGUCGUGGAGGGCACCGACGCCCGGACCAGACCUUCUGUGACGGAUCUGCGGUAGAGCGUGUGUGUUGGGACCCGAAAGAUGGUGAACUAUGCCUGAAUAGGGUGAAGCCAGAGGAAACUCUGGUGGAGGCUCGUAGCGAUUCUGACGUGCAAAUCGAUCGUCAAAUUUGGGUAUAGGGGCGAAAGACUAAUCGA